GAUGAACGCUGGCGGCGUGCUUAACACAUGCAAGUCGAACGGGAAACCUUUUAUUGAAGCUUCGGCAGAUUUAGCUGGUUUCUAGUGGCGGACGGGUGAGUAACGCGUGGGUAACCUGCCUUAUACAGGGGGAUAACAACCAGAAAUGGUUGCUAAUACCGCAUAAGCGCACAGGACCGCAUGGUCCGGUGUGAAAAACUCCGGUGGUAUAAGAUGGACCCGCGUUGGAUUAGCUAGUUGGCAGGGUAACGGCCUACCAAGGCGACGAUCCAUAGCCGGCCUGAGAGGGUGAACGGCCACAUUGGGACUGAGACACGGCCCAGACUCCUACGGGAGGCAGCAGUGGGGAAUAUUACACAAUGGGGGAAACCCUGAUGCAGCGACGCCGCGUGAAGGAAGAAGUAUCUCGGUAUGUAAACUUCUAUCAGCAGGGAAGAUAGUGACGGUACCUGACUAAGAAGCCCCGGCUAACUACGUG
rnacentral:rRNA from 1 species